rnacentral:sRNA from 1 species
UCGUAGAAUUUGGUGCAAUUGGUGCAGA